rnacentral:rRNA from 1 species
CAGCAGCCGCGGGAAUACGUAGGUGGCAAGCGUUGUCCGGAAUUAUUGGGCGUAAAGGGCUCGCAGGCGGUUUCUUAAGUCUGAUGUGAAAGCCCCCGGCUCAACCGGGGAGGGUCAUUGGAAACUGGGAAACUUGAGUGCAGAAGAGGAGAGUGGAACUCCACGUGUAGCGGUGAAAUGCGUAGAGAUGUGGAGGAACACCAGUGGCGAAGGCGACUCUCUGGUCUGUAACUGACGCUGAGGAGCGAAAGCGUGGGGAGCGAACAGGAUUAGAUACCCCGGUAGUCCCUGUCUCUUAUAC